ACAGGGAUUGCCUCAGUAACGGCGAGUGAAGCGGCAACAGCUCAAAUUUGAAAUCUGGCGCUUGCGUCCGAGUUGUAAUUUGUAGAAGAUGCUUUUGGUGAGGUUCCUUCCGAGUUCUCUGGAACGAGACGCCUUAGAGGGUGAGAGCCCCGUACGGUUGGAUACCAAGCCUUUGUAAAGCUCUUUCGACGAGUCGAGUAGUUUGGGAAUGCUGCUCUAAAUGGGAGGUAAAUUUCUUCUAAAGCUAAAUACCGGCCAGAGACCGAUAGCGCACAAGUAGAGUGAUCGAAAGAUGAAAAGCACUUUGAAAAGAGGGUUAAAUAGCACGUGAAAUUGUUGAAAGGGAAGGAUUUAUGACCAGACUUUUUCUGGGCGGAUCAUCCGGUCUUCUGACCGGUGCACUUCGUUCAGUUUAGGCCAGCAUCGGUUUCUAUAGAGGGAUAAAAGCGGUAGGAAUGUGGCUCCCUCCGGGGAGUGUUAUAGCCUGCCGUAUAAUACCUUUACGGGGACCGAGGUACGCGCUUCUGCAAGGAUGCUGGCAUAAUGGUUAUUAAUCACCCGUCUUGAAACACGGACCAAGGAGUCGAACAUUUGUGCAAGUGUUUGGGUGUUAAACCCUCACGCGUAAUGAAAGUGAACGGAGGUGAGAGCCCUUUACGGGGUGCAUCAUCGACCGAUCCUGAAGUUUUCGGAUGGAUUUGAGUAAGAGCAUAACUGUUCGGACCCGAAAGAUGGUGAACUAUGCGUGGAUAGGGUGAAGCCAGAGGAAACUCUGGUGGAGGCUCGCAGCGGUUCUGACGUGCAAAUCGAUCGUCAAAUCUGCGCAUGGGGGCGAAAGACUAAUCGAACCAU
rnacentral:rRNA from 1 species